AGCGAACGCUGGCGGCAGGCCUCACACAUGCAAGUCGAACGGAUCCUUCGGGAUUAGUGGCGGACGGGUGAGUAACACGUGGGAACGUGCCCUUUGGUUCGGAACAACUCAGGGAAACUUGAGCUAAUACCGGAUGUGCCCUUCGGGGGAAAGAUUUAUCGCCAUUGGAGCGGCCCGCGUAUGAUUAGCUAGUAGGUGAGGUAAAGGCUCACCAAGGCGACGAUCAGUAGCUGGUCUGAGAGGAUGAUCAGCCACAUUGGGACUGAGACACGGCCCAAACUACUACGGGAGGCAGCAGUGGGGAAUCUUGCGCAAUGGGCGAAAGCCUGACGCAGCCAUGCCGCGUGAAUGAUGAAGGUCUUAGGAUUGUAAAAUUCUUUCACCGGGGACGAUAAUGACGGUACCCGGAGAAGAAGCCCCGGCUAACUUCGUGCCAGCCGCCGCAGUAAGAC
rnacentral:rRNA from 1 species